rnacentral:rRNA from 1 species
UACGUAGGGUGCAAGCGUUGUCCGGAAUUAUUGGGCGUAAGGAGCUCGUAGGCGGUCUGUCACGUCGGCUGUGAAAUCCCGAGGCUCAACCUCGGGUCUGCAGUCGAUACGGGCAAACUAGAGUAUUGCAGGGGAGACUGGAAUUCCUGGUGUAGCGGUGGAAUGCGCAGAUAUCAGGAGGAACACCGGUGGCGAAGGCGGGAUCCUGGGCCAGUACUGACGCUGAGGAGCGAAAGCGUGGGAGCAAACA